CCCCCUACGGGGCGCAGCAGUGGGGGAUAUUGCACAAUGGGGGAAACCCUGAUGCAGCGACGCCGCGUGUGGGAAGACGGUCCUCUGGAUUGUAAACCACUGUCCCCAGGGACGAAAAUGACGGUACCUGGGGAGGAAGCUCCGGCUAACUACGUGCCAGCAGCCGCGGUAAUACGAGGGAUGCGAGCGUUAUCCGGAUUUAUUGGGUUUAAAGGGUGCGUAGGCGGUUUUUUAAGUUAGUGGUCAAACGUCGGGGCUUCACCU
rnacentral:rRNA from 1 species